GAAAAGAUAAUAUAACAAACCUACAUGUAUAUGCAUAGUAUAACAAAAGAAAGGCUGAUGGUUAUUUUGCAGAAAGCUGAUUUUAUCCUCAUAGCUACCUAAUAGUCAAGUUUUAAUUAGUUUGCUACAAUACUCACAUAUGGUUGAAUUGGCAUCUCCAACUCCAACCUAUUACCAUUAUUAAGUUUCCCAUCAAGUUUUAUUAAGUGUUUCAUCUGUCAAGAUCAUCCAACAACUGUAAUGUCCUAGCUGCUCAAAAUUUUCCAUAACCGGGGACACGGCUAAUCAUGAUUAGUUUAUACACUCUGCAAAGGUUAGUACGAUGUACCCACUGGACCCAACCCAAAGAUUGAGACGAAGUCUUUCAGAAGCAGUCACCUAGUCCCACAGGAGGCCCAUCCCACCUAUCAUAGCUACAUCAGCUGGCACAUCCGGGUAAGGUUUCCACGACCGAUCAACUAAGCCAGAGCCCAUAAUGGCCAGUGGUCGCACAAGGAAGCUACUAGUCACUAAGUCUGUUUGAUCUUUUUGAACCUGGGCGGCAUCCACUUACAUUCCGAGGGUAGAAACCAUGAUGUUCUUGAAACCACCGAGCAAUACCAUAUCCGCCCAGAGGUGUAUUAUAUCAUGAAUUACUACUCAAUUUAUUUUGUAGUAAUCCUCACAUAAACUCAAUGAAUACAGGAACCAAUCCCCGUCUACAUAGCAUAGCAAAACUACAAAUACCACGAUCUUCAAUGACGAGGGGAUAUAGCUCAAUAGCAUAGCAAUAAUAAUCUUCCAAUACAUGCAUAAUUCUCAU
rnacentral:lncRNA from 1 species